UGCAAGCAUGACUGUACGUCGCUUUGGAUUAAAGCCUCUGCUAAAUAACAUAUA
rfam:Salmo salar isolate Sally breed double haploid chromosome ssa08, whole genome shotgun sequence.